GCAGGUGUGGCGAAACGGCAGACGCACUGGACUCAAAAUCCAGCGGUGGCAACACCGUGUGGGUUCAAAUCCCACCACCUGCA
rnacentral:tRNA from 1 species